UAGGGAAUCUUCCGCAAUGGACGAAAGUCUGACGGAGCAACGCCGCGUGAGCGAAGAAGGCCUUCGGGUCGUAAAGCUCUGUUGUCAGGGAAGAACAAGUAUCGGAGUAACUGCCGGUACCUUGACGGUACCUAACCAGAAAGCCACGGCUAACUACGUGCCAGCAGCCGCGGUAAUACGUAGGUGGCAAGCGUUAUCCGGAAUUAUUGGGCGUAAAGCGCGCGCAGGCGGUCCUUUAAGUCUGAUGUGAAAGCCCACGGCUCAACCGUGGAGGGUCAUUGGAGACUGGGGGACUUGAGUUCAGAAGAGGAGAGCGGAAUUCCACGUGUAGCGGUGAAAUGCGUAGAGAUGUGGAGGAACACCAGUGGCGAAGGCGGCUCUCUGGUAUGUAACUGACGCAGAGGCGCGAAAGCGUGGGGAGCGAACAGG
rnacentral:rRNA from 1 species